rnacentral:lncRNA from 1 species
GUGGAAGACAGUGUGGCCAUUCCUCCAGGAUCUAGAACUAGAAAUACCAUCUGACCCAGCAAUUCCAUUACUGGGCAUAUACCCAAAGGAUUAUAAAUCAUGCCACUAUAAAGACACAUGCACACGUAUGUUUAUUGCAGCACUAUUCACAAUAGCAAAGACUUGGAACCAACCCAAAUGUCCAUCAAUGAUAGAACUGAUUAAGAAAAUGCAGCACGUAUACACCAUGGAAUAGUACACAGCCAUAAAAACAGAUGAGUUUUUGUCCUUUGCGGGGACUUGGAUGAAGCCAGAAACCAUCAUUUUCAGCAAACUAUCACAAGGACAGAUAACCAAACACCACAUGUUCUCACUCAUAGGUGGGAAUUUACCAAUGAGAACACUUGGACACAAGGCAGGUAACAUCACACAAUGGGGCCUGUCAGGGGCUGGAGGGCUAGAGGAGAGAUAGCAGUAGGAGAAAUAUCUAAUGUAAAUGAUGAGUUGAUGGGUGCAGCAAAACAACAUGGCACAUGUAAACCUAUGUAAAAAACCUGCAUGUUGUCCACAUGUACCCUAGAA